rnacentral:rRNA from 1 species
GAUGAACGCUGGCGGCGUGCUUAACACAUGCAAGUCGAACGGUGAAGCCCAGCUUGCUGGGUGGAUUAGUGGCGAACGGGUGAGUAACACGUGAGUAACCUGCCCUUGACUCUGGGAUAAGCCUGGGAAACUGGGUCUAAUACUGGAUAUGACUUCUCAUCGCAUGGUGGGGGGUGGAAAGAUUUAUUGGUCUUGGAUGGACUCGCGGCCUAUCAGCUUGUUGGUGAGGUAAUGGCUCACCAAGGCGACGACGGGUAGCCGGCCUGAGAGGGUGACCGGCCACACUGGGACUGAGACACGGCCCAGACUCCUACGGGAGGCAGCAGUGGGGAAUAUUGCACAAUGGGCGCAAGCCUGAUGCAGCGACGCCGCGUGAGGGAUGACGGCCUUCGGGUUGUAAACCUCUUUCAGUAGGGAAGAAGCGAGAGUGACGGUACCUGCAGAAGAAGCGCCGGCUAACUACGUG